UACGGUGGGUGCAAGCGUUGUUCGGAAUUAUUGGGCGUAAAGGGCGUGUAGGUGGCUGUCCAAGUCUGGUGUGAAAGCCCACGGCUCAACCGUGGAACUGCAUUGGAAACUGGAUAGCUCGAGUAUUGGAGGUGGUCGCGGAAUUCCCGGUGUAAAGGUGAAAGUCGUAGAUAUCGGGAGGAACACCAGUGGCGAAGGCGGCGACCUGGCCAUUUACUGACACUGAGACGCGAAAGCGUGUGGAGCAAACAGG
rnacentral:rRNA from 1 species